UCUCCAACCAAGUCUUCCACCACUUUCUUCCUCUCAGUUUGUUUAGGCUCACAAGGAAGCAAAAUGGCUGAGCUAGCUGUGCUUAGUGCCUCGGUGAAGGCCAUUGUACAGGGUCCGCUGGAUAAGGUGAUUUCUCUAGUCAACAAAGAAUUUAGCCUGAUCUACGGCUUCAAGAAAGAUCUUGAAAAGCUGAGAGGAUCACUGGCCAUGAUACAGGCCUUCUUGCGAGAUGCUGAGAGACGACCAGUUGGAGAAGAAGCUGUAAAACUGUGGCUGGAGAAACUUGAAGGCGUGGCUUAUGAUGCUGAUGAUGUAUUGGACGAGAUGAACUACAAAAUUCUCCAACACAAAGUAAAGCUACAGAAGAAAGUGGAAAGCAAGGUAAAAAUCUUCAGCUUGCUCUCAAAUCCCUUUUCUUUUAAUAGGGAAUUGGCUGGUAAACUCAAGGACAUAAAUACAAACUUGAAAAGGAUUAACCAUGAAGCAAAUGAGUUUGGCCUUCAGUUCCAUAUCAGAGAUGUGGAUGCAGAUUCUGCUGCUGGUGCUGUGUUUUCUCAUUCCAUAGCAAGAAGCAGAGAGACUGACUCAGUAAGUGUUGAUCCUAAUGUUCUGGGAAGAGAUAAUGAUAAAUCUGAUUUAGUGAAAACAUUGAUGAGAUCAAGGGAUGAAGUUGUUUCAGUUAUUCCCAUUGUGGGAAUGGGUGGAUUGGGGAAAACAACUUUAGCUCGGUUAAUAUACAAUGAUGAAAGAAUUAAGAACUACUUUGAUGCAAGAAUUUGGGUCUGUGUAUCUGAAAGUUUUGAUGUAACUAAGCUCUUUGCCAUGAUGCUCGAAUCAUUGACACAAUCGCAUGUUCAAGUACAGGGCAGGGAAGCCAUAGUGAAAAACCUUCAAAAGGCUAUCGGGGUUGGAAGAUAUCUUCUCAUACUAGAUGAUGUUUGGAAUGAUAAAGCUGAUAAAUGGGAUGAUUUUAAAAGAUCAAUGGAAGGGAUCAACAGAACCAAGGGAAAUAGCAUUGUUGUGACUACACGUAGUGAACAAGUAGCUUCAAUAGUUGCGACGCUACCCCAACAUUUCCUUAGAAAGUUAUCUGAAGAAGAUUGUCUGUCAAUAUUGAAAGCUAGAGCAUUCCCAGGAGGAGAAGUUCCAAGGGAAUUGGACGCCAUAGGGAAGAAAAUUGCAGCCAAGUGUCAAGGUUUACCAUUAGCAGCAAAUCUGGUAGGAGGAAUUUUACGCAACAAGGGAAAAUCUGAGUGGAUGUCAAUUUUGAAUGAAGGCCUUUCUCAUGUAAAUGGAGAUGAAAAUGGUUGUAGUAUCUUGCAAAUACUGAAGUUGAGCUUUGAUCAUUUGCCAACUCCUGCUGCUAAAAAAUGCUUUGCUUAUUGCUCAAUCUUUAACAAGGAUUUCAAUUUGAAAAAGGAACAAGUAGUUCAACUAUGGAUCGCAGAAGGAUUUUUGUAUUCAAAUCAAGGAAGUGAUGUGAUGGAGAAAACGGGGAUCAAGAUUUUCCACAUUUUACUGCAAAACUGCUUACUUCAAGAUCUGGAGAAGGAUAUAUAUGACAAUGUCAUUAGCUGUAAGAUGCAUGAUCUUGUGCAUGAUCUUGCAAGUUCUGUUUCAAGUGCCAAAGGCAGAUGCCUCGCAUUGAGCACAUCGAGUGAAGCACCCCAAAAUCUGUUGGAAGAAAAGGAAAGAAAUCUGCGCACGUUGUUCUUGAAAUAUGAUGUUUCUCACCAAGUGUUGCUAGAGUUUGUACUCUUGCGUGUACUAAAUUUGGAGGGUGCAGAUCUUGUUAAGGAACUGCCCUCCAAAAUAAAAAAGCUAACACAUUUAAGAUAUCUUGAUGUGUCAGGAACCCAAAUUAAGGUUCUGCCAGACUCCAUUUGCAAGUUGUAUAAUUUGCAAACUCUGAGGGCCCUCCAUCUACAUGGUUCUAUCAAUAAGUUUCCACCAAAUUUUCAUAACUUGAUCAGCUUGAGACACCUUCAUUUUUAUUUUCCUGAAAGAUUUCAAAUGCCACUUGGGAUAGGAAAACUGACUGAUCUUCAAACAUUGUCAUGCUUUAAUGUGGAUCAAGAGAAGGGCCGUAGAAUUAGCGAGCUGGGGUGCUUGAAUAACCUUGGAGGUGAAUUGAAGAUACACAAUCUAGAACUGGUGAAUGAUGCAGAUGAAGCUAGAAGUGCAAAUUUAUCUGGAAAGCCAAAUAUCUACAAAUUGGAAUAUUAUUGGGGAAGAAAUAGACAAGGCGACAACCAGGACGAAAAUGUACUGGAAGGGCUCCAACCUCACCCAAAUAUAAAAAGCUUGAAGAUAGAAAACUUCAUGGGCAAUGAGUUUCCUUUGUGGGCUAUCAAAAUGGCCGUCAAAACCGAGAAUGCAUGGGUAUUACUUGAGAAUUUGGUGGAGAUAGAACUAGUCCAGUGUGAAAGAUGUAAAGAAAUUCCAAUGCUCGGACAAUUACCCUUUCUCCAGCAUCUUAAAUUGGAAGGGCUUACUAAUGUAAGAAUUAUAGCUCCUUCAACUUAUGGUACUGAUUACUACAUUGGAUCGAGCAGUAGUCUAUGUAGAACCAUAUGGUUUCCAGCACUUGAAAAUCUCGUUCUAGAAAGAAUGCCGAGCUUGAUAGAAUGGAUUGAUUUUCCAGAUAUGCCAUCUUCAAGUACAACAGCAUCAAGUGAAGUGAGUUUUUUUCCUCGCCUUCAAAACUUAACCAUCAUAAGUUGCCCCCAUUUAAGGACUGUUCCAAGAAAAUUUCGUUGUCUUACUUGUUUAAACCUAAUGGGCGACAACAGCAUCUUGCCAUUGUCAAGCAUAUGUAGUAAUGUUUUCACUCUUGAAACACUACGCAUAUUUGGCCUGUCAGAUCUAACAUGUCUUCCAGAUUGUUUAUUUCAAAACAAUCCAAAGCUUGCACAUUUUAACAUGGGCUAUUGCUCAAACCUGACAAAUUUUGCUUCAAACUUGUCAGGCUGUGCCAAUUCUCUUAAGAUAUUGGAGAUUGAGCACUGCGAUAGUCUGAUUGAGUUACCACAAGGAUUACACACCCUCCAGUCACUUGAGAGACUAACAAUAAAUGGAUGUGACAGUCUCAGAUCCAUACCAGCGCCAGAGUGCCAGGGCCAGGGCCUUACUUCUCUUCGUAACUGGGAGUUUGCUGGUUGUCAUGGAUUGACCAACAUCCCUGGAGAAGCAUUGCAGUUUUGCACCUCUCUGGAGUCUCUGUCGGUAAAGUACUGCAAUGAGCUUGUAGUUUUUCCAGUGGAUUUGCAGAAGUUGCCUUCUCUCAUUUGUCUACGGAUACAUCACUGCCCCAAAUUGGAUAUGAUGCCCACAGGUUUGUGUGGUCUUACUAGGCUAAGGCAAUUGUACAUAGGUUGUUUCUUGGAGUUUGGCUCAUUCCAAAUCAUUUUCAAUGGCAUUGAGCAAAAUCUUUCAACCCUUAUAGAAUUAGAAUUGUUUGGGUGUUCUGACUGGGAUUCUCUGCCUGAUCAACUUCAGUACCUCACAUCUUUGAAACAACUGGACAUAAAUGAUUUUGGAGUUGAAACUUUGCCCAAUUGGCUGGGGAAUCUUUUCUCUCUCGAAAAUCUGAGGCUGACCAAUUGCAAGAAACUGCAUCAGCUGCCUUCCUUAGAGGCCAUGAGGCAUAUGAUCAAACUGAAGGAAUUUACAAUUACAAAUUGUCCUCUGUUAAAAGCUAGUUGCAUCCAGAGAAGCAACCCCAACAGCCAGUGGUCCAGGAUUUCUCAUAUUCCCACAAUCGAAAUAGAUUUAUUUCUUAUUCAGUCCUUAUCAUAAGCUAUGGAGAAUACUUUGAAACUUUCUUGAACGUUCAGGAUUCCUUGCAUCUUUGGUUCUAAAUCGAUCAGGGAUCGGUGUAUCAGGGGAUCAGGGAUUUCCUGUGCUGAAAAAUAAUCUAUUUCAGUUGAAAGGAUGAUUAUGUUCACCUUCCAGGGCCCUGAUUCAUCAUGUCACAGGCUAUUGGCACACCACCUAUUUUGCUCAUAUCUCCUGCACAAAAUUCAGGAUUUGCUCCUUGGUAGAACAGCUUUUAUCAUUCUGUGAUUUUCAGUCACUUUGUCAUAAAGGGAUUCUAAAGCUGAAUGCUUCUCUUUCCUAUUGCUAUAUGGUUCUUGCAUCACUUAAUCUCAUAUGUUCCUUAUGGACUUGACUCAAGCUAUAUAUGCUUGUAAAGAAAUCAUUUCCUGAACCUAAUUAAUUAAAGCUGAUUUCCCACUAAA